AUUGAACGCUGGCGGCAGGCCUAACACAUGCAAGUCGAGCGAGCGGCGGACGGGUGAGUAAUGUAUGGGGAUCUGCCUGAUGGAGGGGGAUAACUACUGGAAACGGUAGCUAAUACCGCAUACCAUCAGAUGAACCCAUAUGGGAUUAGCUUGUAGGUGGGGUAACGGCUCACCAAGGCGACGAUCCCUAGCUGGUCUGAGAGGAUGACCAGCCACACUGGUACUGAGACACGGCCCCGCCUCCUACGGGCGGCAGCAGUGGGGAAUAUUGCACAAUGGGCGAAAGCCUGAUGCAGCCAUGCCGCGUGUAUGAAGAAGGCCUUCGGGUUGUAAAGUAUUUUUGGUCGGGAGGCGUGACCGACAGAAGAAGCACCGGCGAACUCCGUGCCAGCAGCCGCGGUAAUUC
rnacentral:rRNA from 1 species